rnacentral:misc_RNA from 1 species
GAGGAGAAACACAAAGCUAUGGAGGCAGAGAGAAUCCAAUACGAAGCACGAAUUAAGGAAGAGCAAGAAGCAGCAAUCAAGCAGCUUAGGAAGGGAUUAGUGAUUAAAGCAAAUCCAGUGCCCAGUUUCUAUUAUGAAGGACCACCACCAAAGGUUGAACUCAAAAAGUUACCAUUAACUCGGCCAAAGUCUCCGAAUCUAACUCGAAGGAAAAGCUGCGGUGAUUCGAUGAACUUAAGCGUAGAGGAAAAGCUGCG